GACGUAUGGCGCGAGCGUUGUCCGGAUUUAUUGGGCGUAAAGAGCUCGUAGGCGGCUUGUCGCGUCAACUGUGAAAACCCGUGGCUCAACCAUGUGGUCUGCAGUCGAUACGGGCAGGCUAGAAUUCGGUAGGGGAGACUGGAAUUCCUGGUGUAGCGGUGAAAUGCGCAGAUAUCAGGAGGAACACCGGUGGCGAAGGCGGGUCUCUGGGCCGAUAUUGACGCUGAGGAGCGAAAGCGUGGGGAGCGAACAGG
rnacentral:rRNA from 1 species